AGUUCAAGCAGCAGUCGGAUUCUGUUGAGUGGAGUUUGAACCGGUAGUUUCUAGUAUUUUAAAAUUUCAGUGUAAUUUGCAAUGUGUUUUUUUUUUCAAAAUAACAUAUAUCCACGAUGGCUUUUAUAAUUGUUAGUUAACAUUCAUUAUCGAUCCAUAAUUGAAUUACAUAUACAAUUACAGUGUACGAUGUCUUCCGUAAAGGAUGAUGCGGUAGUUGUAAACUCACAACUGAGACACUCUGUGUCCACUCUUUGGUUCUUCCUCACCUUCGAAUUCUUAAUUAGCACCUUUCUGAGUAUUUUCCUGGCCAUUCUCACGUUCAUAAAAUCUUUAUUGCCGAAACCACCCAGGGAUUUAACAGGAGACAUAAUUUUGAUUGCCGGCGUUUCUUCCUCAUUAGGCGAGUCUUUGGCGAGUGAAUUUUUAAAAAACGGUUGUUCCGUGAUUUGCGUGGACAAAGAUUCGAAAACGAUCGAGGAAACGGUAUCCAGAUUGAAGCAACGACAUUUGAUCGUCGAGGCGAGAUCGCAGAGGAGGAACGAAUCGUCGCGAUCCGGAUCGAUGAUAUUCACUUACGAGUGUGAUUUCUUGGAUAAAGAUGCGAUUAGAGGGACCGUUCAAAAAGUGAAAAAAGAUAUUGGAAGAAUCGACGUUCUGAUUACUUGCAUCAACGAAUCGAACGAGAAUAUCUUCGACGCGAGUAGCAGGACAUUGAUGGCCCAUUUCUGGACAGUUUUGACGUUUCUUCCAAUGAUGUUGUAUCAAAAACGAGGCCAUAUAAUUGGUGUUACUCCAAUCUCAUUGAACAGCGACGCUUAUCAUAGCUCCAGAGCGGCUAUAAUGUAUUUCAUAGAAAGUAUGCGUCAAGAAUUGAGCGAGCACAGCAGUUACUUAACAUUUUUGGCAUAUUCUCCAAUUGCAAAAUCCAGCUCAUUGAAGCAAAGUGAAGAAGAAGUAAGCAAGAACAUAGUAAGAGCAGUGAAGACUGAUCAGUAUAAUGUGAGCUGGACGUUCAAACUAUUGUAUCAAAUAGGUUGCAUAAUCUACAAUGGAAUAACGUUGCUCACAAACUGGAUCGACUUUAACAGAUGCGAUUAUCCCACGUGAAAAACGAGUUUUUCCUCAUCCUUCUCUGGUAGAAUCAAAGAUUGAAUAGAAGAUGGUCUAUGAACGACGAUAUAAUACACAGCCUAAAAAAAAUUCACUUAAAAAUUUGUUUCACUUCGAUGAAAAAGUAGCUAAAGGUAUCCAAUCAGUUUGUUGAACACCGGAAACGUGGAUGUAGAAGUCUCCGCGGUCCAGAUGCAAUUCGUUUCUGAAUCGAUUGUACUUUUUCGCAUUCUUGGGCAGCGACGAGCGACGUACACAUUUAUCUAUCAAU